AGAGAGAGACAUGCGCGCAUAUCAAUAAGCGGAGGAAAAGAAACUAACUAGGAUUCCCUCAGUAACGGCGAGUGAAGCGGGAAGAGCUCAAAUUUGAAAUCUUCAAGGUUCUACCUUGACGAAUUGUAGUUUAAAGAAGUGUUUUCUGUUGGAGGUUUUGGUAAAAGUUCUUUGGAAUAGGACAUCAUAGAGGGUGAGAAUCCCGUAUUUGACCAUUACUUUCAACUUUGUGAUACACUUUCAAAGAGUCGGAUUGUUUGGGAAUGCAGUCCAAAAUGGGUGGUAAAUUUCAUCUAAAGCUAAAUAUUGGCGAGAGACCGAUAGCGAACAAGUACCGUGAGGGAAAGAUGAAAAGAACUUUGAAAAGAGAGUUAAACAGUACGUGAAAUUGUCAAAAGGGAAGCGUUUGACACCAGUGUUGUUUUCUCGAAAAUCAAUUAAAAAAGGCAGGAUUUUGUGUUGUAUUGACUUUAUCAGCUUUCUGCACUCUUUUCUUGUCUUUUUUAAUGCACUUUUCGUUUAACAAGUCAACAUCAGUUUCUUUUGUUGUAAAAAGGUCAUUGGAAGGUGGCUUUCUUUUCGGAGAAAGUGUUUAUAGCCUUUGGCCUAUGCAGUCGGAGAGAUUGAGGUCUGCAGCGUAGAUCCUUCGGGGCUAAAUGCAUUUGUGCUAAGUUAUAGCAUUUUAUAGACAACUUGUUGACUAUGAUUUGUCUUGUAGCUUACUCGCUUAUGUUAUUUUACCUACGCUUAGGAUGUUGAUGUGAUACUGCGAGC
rnacentral:rRNA from 1 species